rnacentral:tmRNA from 1 species
GGGGGCGAGAGGUUUCGACGGCAAUUUUAUCUCAGAAAAUUGCAAGCCGAGCUAGAAUCUCGUUAAACUUCAAAAACUGCCAACUUAGAAAAAACUCCUGCUUUGGCACUUGCCUAAAGCAGGCGCCACCCUUGAUUCUCGCUAAAAGGGUUAGGUGUCAUAAAGCGAGAGAUUUUUGUUCCUUAAAAAAUUCUGGAUGAAAGAGUUCCCCAAUUCUCUCUUUCAUCCGAAAAAAUCUCAAAAAUUGGGUAAGCUUGUAGAAAUUUUCUGAGGAAAUUGCCGGACUUGGGUUCAAUUCCCAACGCCUCCAUAA